GUUAAGGCCAAGGCUGAUUGGUGGACC
rnacentral:piRNA from 1 species